UUGUGCACUUCCUACGGCUUCCACUAGAUGUCAACAGUCUUUACAAAGUUGUUUGAGUCGUCUAUGUUGAACAGAGAUCGAAUUUCAAGGAGGGGAACUUGUUGAGGUAGAGAAUGACAUCACUUCUUGGCGCACGUUCAUGAGGAUGGAUCCUCCCAUUCCAAAACCUUUUUCAAGACACAGGAACCGUCCGGAUGAAAUAUUACUGAAUCUUCACGUUCUGAAGGCCCUAAAGAUUGAUGUUUUACAACGUUUGACAUGUUUGAACGAACGUAAAUACAACUUUUUUUUACUUUUCGUCGCGACAUCGUCUGCGCGCUUUCUACAUUUGGAGUAGCUUACUGAACGCGCUAACAACAAGGAGUUAUUUCGACAAAUUAUGGACUUUAUCGAACAAAACAACAUUUGUUGUGGACCUGGGAUCCUGGAAGUGCCUUCUGAUGAAGAUCAUCAAAGGGUAGUGAGGUCUGCACAACGCAUCACUACCUGCCCUUCAGGACACCUCCAGGAUGCCUACACCACCCGAUGUCACAGGAAGGCCAAAAAGAUCAUCAAGGACAACAACCACCCGAGCCACUGCCGGUUCACCCCGCUAUCAUCCAGAACGCGAGGUCAGUACAGGUGCAUCAAAGUGGGGACCGAGAGACUGAAAAACAGCUUCUAUCUCAAGGCCACCAGACUGUUAAACAGCCAUCACUUACAUUGAGUGGCUGCUGCCAACAUACUGACUCAUCUCUAGCCACUUUAAUAAUGACAAAUAUUAUGUAAUAAAUGUAUCACUAGCCACUUUAAACAAUGCCACUUUAUAUAAUGUUUACAUACCCUACAUUACUCAUCUCAUAUGUAUAUACUGUACUCUAUACCAUCUACUGCAUCUUGCCUAUGCCGUUCGGCCAUCGCUCAUUUAUAUAUUCUUAUGUACAUGUUCAUAUUCAUUCCUUUACACUUGUGUGUAUAAGGCAGUUGUGAAAUUGAUAGAUUACUUGUUAGAUAUUACUGCAUGGUCGGAACUAGAAGCACAAGCAUUCCACUACACUCUCAUUAACAUCUGCUAACCAUGUGUAUGUGAC
rnacentral:lncRNA from 1 species